UACCUAUACGCUAUUCUUUUUUCGAAAAGGAUAGGAAAGCCGGGUCGAGGACCUGGUACUCAAGGAGGGCUCAUGUCCUAUCAGCUUGUUGGUGGGUAACGGCCUACCAAGGCUACGACGGGUAGCUGGUCUGAGAGGAUGAUCAGCCACACUGGCACUGAGAUACGGGCCAGACUCCUACGGGAGGCAGCAGUGAGGAAUAUUGCGCAAGUGGGACGAAAGCCUGACGCAGCGACCGCCGCGUGGGGGAUGAAGGUUUUCGGAUUGUAAACCCCUUUCAUGAGGAAAGAUAAAGUGGGUAACCACUUAGACGGUACCUCAAGAAGAAGCCACGGCUAACUUCGUG
rnacentral:rRNA from 1 species